rnacentral:rRNA from 1 species
UACGGGGGGAGUAAGCGUUGUUCGGAUUUACUGGGCGUAAAGGGCGCGUAGGCGGCCAGCACAAGUCAGUUGUGAAAUCUCCGAGCUUAACUCGGAAAGGUCAACUGAUACUGUGCGGCUAGAGUGCGGAAGGGGCAACUGGAAUUCUUGGUGUAGCGGUGAAAUGCGUAGAUAUCAAGAGGAACACCUGCGGCGAAGGCGGGUUGCUGGGCCGACACUGACGCUGAGGCGCGAAAGCCAGGGGAGCGAACGGG